rnacentral:rRNA from 1 species
CGAGAAAAUAACUGUCUCUUAUACAAAGUUUGAAUUUCAUUUUUAAGUGAAAAAGCUUAAAUAGACCUGAAGGACGAUAAGACCCUAUAGAGCUUUACUUCAUUAAAAUACAAACAACCUAGAAAUUAAUAUUAUUAUUUGAUAGAAGUUACGUUGGGGCGACGACAAGACAAUAAAUAACUCUUUAUUCUUUAAACAACUAAAAUUGAAAAAUUGAUCCUUAAAGUGAGAUCAAAUGAACAAGUUACCUUAGGGAUAACAGCGUAAUCCUUUUUAAGAGUUCUCAUCAACAAAAGGGUUUGCGACCUCGAUGUUGGAUUAAGAGUUCACCAAGGUGCAGCAGCUUUGGAAGACGGUCUGUUCGACCAUUAAUCUCUU